rnacentral:rRNA from 1 species
UACGUAGGGGGCAAGCGUUGUUCGGAUUCAUUGGGCGUAAAGGGUGCGUAGGCGGUCGUGCAAGUCGGAUGUGAAAUCUCAGGGCUCAACCCUGAAACUGCAUUCGAUACUGCGCGGCUAGAGUGCUGGAGGGGAGACUGGAAUUUACGGUGUAGCAGUGAAAUGCGUAGAUAUCGUAAGGAAGACCAGUGGCGAAGGCGAGUCUCUGGACAGCAACUGACGCUGAGGCACGAAGGCCAGGGGAGCAAACGGG